rnacentral:rRNA from 1 species
CGGGACACGUGGUAUCCUGUCUGAAUAUGGGGGGACCAUCCUCCAAGGCUAAAUACUCCUGACUGACCGAUAGUGAACCAGUACCGUGAGGGAAAGGCGAAAAGAACCCCGGCGAGGGGAGUGAAAAAGAACCUGAAACCGUGUACGUACAAGCAGUGGGAGCACGCUUAGGCGUGUGACUGCGUACCUUUUGUAUAAUGGGUCAGCGACUUAUAUUCUGUAGCAAGGUUAACCGAAUAGGGGAGCCGAAGGGAAACCGAGUCUUAACUGGGCGUUAAGUUGCAGGGUAUAGACCCGAAACCCGGUGAUCUAGCCAUGGGCAGGUUGAAGGUUGGGUAACACUAACUGGAGGACCGAACCGACUAAUGUUGAAAAAUUAGCGGAUGACUUGUGGCUGGGGGUGAAAGGCCAAUCAAACCGGGAGAUAGCUGGUUCUCCCCGAAAGCUAUUUAGGUAGCGCCUCGUGAAUUCAUCUCCGGGGGUAGAGCACUGUUUCGGCAAGGGGGUCAUCCCGACUUACCAACCCGAUGCAAACUGCGAAUACCGGAGAAUGUUAUCACGGGAGACACACGGCGGGUGCUAACGUCCGUCGUGAAGAGGGAAACAACCCAGACCGCCAGCUAAGGUCCCAAAGUCAUGGUUAAGUGGGAAACGAUGUGGGAAGGCCCAGACAGCCAGGAUGUUGGCUUAGAAGCAGCCAUCAUUUAAAGAAAGCGUAAUAGCUCACUGGUCGAGUCGGCCUGCGCGGAAGAUGUAACGGGGCUAAACCAUGCACCGAAGCUGCGGCAGCGACGCUGAUGCGUUGUUGGGUAGGGGAGCGUUCUGUAAGCCUGUGAAGGUGUGCUGUGAGGCAUGCUGGAGGUAUCAGAAGUGCGAAUGCUGACAUAAGUAACGAUAAAGCGGGUGAAAAGCCCGCUCGCCGGAAGACCAAGGGUUCCUGUCCAACGUUAAUCGGGGCAGGGUGAGUCGACCCCUAAGGCGAGGCCGAAAGGCGUAGUCGAUGGGAAACAGGUUAAUAUUCCUGUACUUGGUGUUACUGCGAAGGGGGGACGGAGAAGGCUAUGUUGGCCGGGCGACGGUUGUCCCGGUUUAAGCGUGUAGGCUGGUUUUCCAGGCAAAUCCGGAAAAUCAAGGCUGAGGCGUGAUGACGAGGCACUACGGUGCUGAAGCAACAAAUGCCCUGCUUCCAGGAAAAGCCUCUAAGCAUCAGGUAACAUCAAAUCGUACCCCAAACCGACACAGGUGGUCAGGUAGAGAAUACCAAGGCGCUUGAGAGAACUCGGGUGAAGGAACUAGGCAAAAUGGUGCCGUAACUUCGGGAGAAGGCACGCUGAUAUGUAGGUGAAGCGACUUGCUCGUGGAGCUGAAAUCAGUCGAAGAUACCAGCUGGCUGCAACUGUUUAUUAAAAACACAGCACUGUGCAAACACGAAAGUGGACGUAUACGGUGUGACGCCUGCCCGGUGCCGGAAGGUUAAUUGAUGGGGUCAGCGCAAGCGAAGCUCUUGAUCGAAGCCCCGGUAAACGGCGGCCGUAACUAUAACGGUCCUAAGGUAGCGAAAUUCCUUGUCGGGUAAGUUCCGACCUGCACGAAUGGCGUAAUGAUGGCCAGGCUGUCUCCACCCGAGACUCAGUGAAAUUGAACUCGCUGUGAAGAUGCAGUGUACCCGCGGCAAGACGGAAAGACCCCGUGAACCUUUACUAUAGCUUGACACUGAACAUUGAGCCUUGAUGUGUAGGAUAGGUGGGAGGCUUUGAAGUGUGGACGCCAGUCUGCAUGGAGCCGGCCUUGAAAUACCACCCUUUAAUGUUUGAUGUUCUAACGUUGACCCGUGAUCCGGGUUGCGGACAGUGUCUGGUGGGUAGUUUGACUGGGGCGGUCUCCUCCUAAAGAGUAACGGAGGAGCACGAAGGUUGGCUAAUCCUGGUCGGACAUCAGGAGGUUAGUGCAAUGGCAUAAGCCAGCUUGACUGCGAGCGUGACGGCGCGAGCAGGUGCGAAAGCAGGUCAUAGUGAUCCGGUGGUUCUGAAUGGAAGGGCCAUCGCUCAACGGAUAAAAGGUACUCCGGGGAUAACAGGCUGAUACCGCCCAAGAGUUCAUAUCGACGGCGGUGUUUGGCACCUCGAUGUCGGCUCAUCACAUCCUGGGGCUGAAGUAGGUCCCAAGGGUAUGGCUGUUCGCCAUUUAAAGUGGUACGCGAGCUGGGUUUAGAACGUCGUGAGACAGUUCGGUCCCUAUCUGCCGUGGGCGCUGGAGAACUGAGGGGGGCUGCUCCUAGUACGAGAGGACCGGAGUG